GUAGGUGAACCUGCGGAAGGAUCAUUAUUGAAAUAAACCUGAUGGGUUGAUGCUGGUUCUCUAGGGAGCAUGUGCACGCCUUCAGGUCUAUCUUGCUUUUUCAUUUACCCCAAUGUAUGUUAAUAGAAUGUUGUGACUAUAAAAACUAUACAACUUUCAGCAACGGAUCUCUUGGCUCUC
rnacentral:misc_RNA from 1 species